rnacentral:misc_RNA from 1 species
GAUGAAGAACGCAGCGAAAUGCGAUAAGUAAUGCGAAUUGCAGAAUUCAGUGAGUCAUCGAAUCUUUGAACGCACAUUGCGCCCUGUGGUAUUCCGCAGGGCAUGCCUGUUCGAGCGUCAUUUCAACCCUCAAGCCCCGCUUGGUGUUGGGCCCCGCCCGCUGUGGCCGGCCCUAAAGACAGUGGCGGCGCCGCCUGGCCCUCAGCGUAGUACAUCUCUCGCUCCAGGGUCCGGUGGCCGCCUGCCAGAACCCCCCAACUCUGUGGUUGACCUCGGAUCAGGUAGGGAUACCCGCUGAACUUAAGCAUAUCAAUAAGCCGGAGGA